rnacentral:ncRNA from 1 species
UUAUAACAUAUGAAACUCGUAUAAAGUUGGUAAUUGGUCCAAAAGUUUCUACCUGCUAACCGUAAAUUGGCAGACUACGAGGUAUUUUUGUUU